UGAUGCUCGUCAUGUUUAUGGAUGCAAUGGGACUGUGCUAAGCUAAAUGCUAAAGACGGAAAGUUGCCGAUUUUCAACUCUUCUGAAGCGAGUCAUCCAGUGGAGAUUUACCGGCUGGUAAGAGCAGACCUCCGUGUACUGCCACCAUUCAACAGCAUGUACAGC